rnacentral:rRNA from 1 species
AGAACGAACGCUGGCGGCAAGCUUAACACAUGCAAGUCGAACGGAUUUUUGUCGUAGCUUGCUAUGAUAAAAAUUAGUGGCAGACGGGUGAGUAAUGCAUAGGAAUCUACCUAGUAGUAUGGGAUAGCCACUAGAAAUGGUGGGUAAUACUGUAUAAUCCCUGCGGGGGAAAGAUUUAUCGCUAUUAGAUGAGCCUAUGUUAGAUUAGCUAGUUGGUAGGGUAAAGGCCUACCAAGGCGGUGAUCUAUAGCUGGUCUGAGAGGAUGAUCAGCCACACUGGAACUGAGAUACGGUCCAGACUCCUACGGGAGGCAGCAGUGGGGAAUAUUGGACAAUGGGCGCAAGCCUGAUCCAGCUAUGCCGCGUGAGUGAGGAAGGCCUUAGGGUUGUAAAACUCUUUCAAUAGGGAAGAUAAUG